CGACCGACACUUAAMGCAGCUUGUUUAACGCACCACCGCRUGUCGGAGCGCUCAAGGCGUCCUUGGCUCGGAUUUUGGCCAACCGCGUGCGGUAACACACGGGAGACCAACUUCCGUCCCAUUAUCCGUAAAGGAUUGGGGACGACGAUUUGUGACACCCAGGCAGACGUGCCCUCGGCCAGAAGGCUUGGGGCGCAACUUGCGUUCAAAGACUCGAUGGUUCACGGGAUUCUGCAAUUCACACCAAGUAUCGCAUUUCGCUACGUUCUUCAUCGAUGCGAGAGCCGAGAUAUCCGUUGCCGAGAGUCGUUUUAGACUUUAGAUCACAGCGCAUCAUCCACACUCGGACCGUUUCCGGGGAGGCAAAGGAUGGCUGUUCUGUUGCAUGUUCCUUGACACUUUUCGUGCCGGGGUUUUGUUAUAUCCAGAAGCUACCCUCACGACCCAAGCGACAUAAAKCUCCCGAGUGGGAAGGAACACGAACCCACGGAUUCRGCAAGCACGGRAUCAGCUAAGAAACCGGCCCACCGUAAGUGAUGAUCGUAUGUUCACGGKUCRUUCUGUUUUGKACAGGUAUCAACAAUGAUCCUUCCGCAGGUUCUCCUACGGAAACCUUGUUACGACUUCUCCNUC
rnacentral:misc_RNA from 1 species